CGAUUUUUACCGUUUUUUGCGCUUGUUUACUUCGUUCGUCGGACAAUGUUUGGCUCGGGUUUUCGAAAAAUCUACUUUUUAACGUUUCAUAAAUCACUUUCUUCGAUUUCUGCAGCUUCGAGGGUCUCAAGGAUUUUGUCAUCGACUCCUUGGGGGUUGGCUGGGAGCAAAAUAGAACGAUACGAUCAGCCUGCGGCAUUAUCUAUUGCCGCACAAGAGCAGGUACCAUUGAGCUUGCAGACCAGCUAACCAAAAAAGGUGUCCCUACGAAGGCCAAUCAUGCAGGUCUGAAAGACAGAGAAAGGUCACAAGUGCAAGAAGACUGGAU